GGCUGCAUAGAUGGAACACACAUCCCCAUCACAGCUCCCUCACAUAAUGAAGCUGAUUAUGUGAACAGGAAGUCCAUUCACAGCAUAAAUGUGCAGAUCAUAUGUGAUGCUGCAUACAUCAUUUCUAAUGUGGAGGCCAAGUGGCCUGGAUCUGUUCAUGACUGGAGGAUUUAUCAUGAGUCUAACCUGAGCAACAGACUGCAACGUGGAGAGUUUGAUGGCCUUCUGCUGGGUGACAGGGGUUACCAUGCCAACCCAGGCUGAUGACCUCAUACCCUGACCCUGAACCAGGCCCCCAACAGAACUUCAACCAGGCUCACUGCAGGAUGAGAGCCUGGGUGGAGAUGACCAUAGACCUGCUGAAAGCCUGUUUCCAGUGUCUACAUCACCUCAGGGUGACUCCUGAGAGGCCUGUGAUAUUAUUGUGGCAUGUGUUGUUCUUCAUAAUAUUAGCACUAUUAGAGGAGAGCAACACUCUGCCCUACAAACUGAAGACCCAGAUGAUGACCUCAUCCACCUGCCAGCUGUCCAGGACAGCAGAGCAGUCAGAGACACCAUAUGCAAUAAUCACUGCAGAGUUUAAGUCUCCAUCAUCACCACCACAGCAGUCAAAUAAAGACAUGAUACACAUUUCAUUUGGUCUUCUUUAUUUCCUACAAAUAAAAGAGCUGGUUUAGUUCAUGUUCCAGUAGUUAACAUAAUUCACCUGUGACCUGCACCCACCUCUAACUUGUGCUCCAGUAUUUCAGUUUCCAGAUCUGCCUUCUUAAUCUGGUGGUCCAAGUAUUGCAUUUCUUUAUCUGUUUUUUGUAUUUUUCUCAGCAAGUGGAUUUUGUAUAUUUGUUUUACUGGUAACUGGGAAUACAUAGAGGACAUUAAAUUAUACAGUUGCACAUGAAUUCCACAGAAUGAACCUCUGGUGUUUACUGAACAUCCAUCUCACUGUGUCAAUCUGUGCAGUGGAAGUUGAGGAAGCAUCCUGCUGCUGUCCAGCCAUGCUCUGUUAAAAAGGAUGAGAAUGUGCAAUACUUCAGUGUAGGCUAAAUGUCACACUAAUGUCACAAAGUGGACUAAGUGGACUGAAUACAGGACUGAAAAUGGGAACGUUGGAAGAGAGCAAGGGGAAAAUUAUGAUUAAUAGGACUGAAGGAUGCUGUAGAUGCUCUGUUACUACCCAGGCAUUGUUCAGUUGUUUUAUUUGCUCAUUUGUUUUUCUUGGUUUGUGUAAUUAUAUGAAAAUAAAUAAAACCUUGGGUGGAAAAAAACAAUCAGAAAUAAUUUACAAAUUUUCAGCUUUCCGAUUUCCUCAAACUACUCACGUGAAACUUAGAGUUCCAUCAGAAAAAAUAAGUCAGAUUUUGUAAUAUUUGAUCAAAAGUAAUUUAUUCUGCAUGCCUCAUUUAAGAAUUUGGCCAAAAAAUAAAUAAAUAAAUAGUUUGAACUAAAAUAAUUCUGUAAAAAACUACAUAUUCUGGGAUCCUUGUUGACUCAGCUGUGACCAACAGUCAUGUGAUAAAAAUUCAGCAACUAUUUGUCUGAAUCACUGUGUGUGUUUUACACCAAACAAAUAGGAGGAAAAAGAAGACAAGUAGGGAAACAAAUUGAAAAUGUAAGCAGUAAAACAUCUCUAUCAUGUAGAAUCACUACUGUUUUUCUAGUAUUUAAACACCUGUGGGCACUUGGAAAAAUGUUGUCCAUGUUGAGUCCAAGUUUUUUCAAUUAUUGAAAAAUAAAUUUUAAAUAAAGGAAGUUUUUCUUUUAAUGACUCGUGGCAUCAUGAUUUUGUUU